UACGUAGGUGGCAAGCGUUGUCCGGAUUUACUGGGCGUAAAGCGUGCGUAGGCGGUUCGUUAAGUCUGUCGUGAAAGCCCUGGGCUCAACCUGGGAAUUGCGAUGGAUACUGGCGAGCUAGAGUACGGUAGAGGAUGGUGGAAUUCCCGGUGUAGCGGUGAAAUGCGUAGAGAUCGGGAGGAACACCCGUGGCGAAGGCGGCCAUCUGGACCAGUACUGACGCUGAGGCACGAAAGCGUGGGGAGCAAACAGG
rnacentral:rRNA from 1 species